AUUGAACGCUGGCGGCAGGCCUAACACAUGCAAGUCGAACGAGUGGCGGACGGGUGAGUAUUGUCUGGGAAACUGCCUGAUGGAGGGGGAUAACUACUGGAAAUGGUAGCUAAUACCGUAUACUAUCAGGUGUGCCCAGAUGGGUUUAGCUAGUGGGUGGGGGAAUGGCUCACCAAGGCGACGAUCCCUAGUUGGUCUGAGAGGAUGACCAGCCACACUGGAACUGAGACACGGUCCAGACUCCUACGGGAGGCAGCAGUGGGGAAUAUUGCACAAUGGGCGCAAGCCUGAUGCAGCCAUGCCGCGUGUAUGAAGAAGGCCUUCGGGUUGUAAAGUACUUUCAGCGGGGAGGCGUUACCCACAGAAGAAGCACCGGCUAACUCCGUGCCAGCAGCCGCGGUAAUAC
rnacentral:rRNA from 1 species